rnacentral:rRNA from 1 species
GACGAACCGUGCGAACGUUGUUCGGAAUCACUGGGCUUAAAGGGCGCGUAGGCGGGUGUGCAAGUCUGCGGUGAAAGCCUCCAGCUUAACUGGAGAAGUGCCGUGGAUACUGCUCAUCUUGAGGAGGGUAGGGGCAUCUGGAACGGUCGGUGGAGCGGUGAAAUGCGUUGAUAUCGACCGGAACUCCGGUGGCGAAGGCGAGGUGCUGGACCCUUCCUGACGCUGAGGCGCGAAAGCCAGGGGAGCAAACGGG